rnacentral:rRNA from 1 species
UUACACAUGCAAGUCGAACGGCAGCACGGGAGCAAUCCUGGUGGCGAGUGGCGAACGGGUGAGUAAUAUAUCGGAACGUGCCCAGUCGUGGGGGAUAACGYAGAGAAAUUUACGCUAAUACCGCAUACGAUCUMWGGAUGAAAGCGGGGGAUC